rnacentral:rRNA from 1 species
CAGCAGCCGCGGGAAUACGUAGGGUCCGAGCGUUGUCCGGAAUUAUUGGGCGUAAAGGGCUCGUAGGCGGUUUGUUGCGUCGGGAGUGAAAACCUACAGCUUAACUGUGGGCUUGCUUUCGAUACGGGCAGACUUGAGGCAUUCAGGGGAGAACGGAAUUCCUGGUGUAGCGGUGAAAUGCGCAGAUAUCAGGAGGAACACCGGUGGCGAAGGCGGUUCUCUGGGAAUGUUCUGACGCUGAGGAGCGAAAGUGUGGGGAGCGAACAGGAUUAGAUACCCCAGUAGUCCCUGUCUCUUAUAU